rnacentral:rRNA from 1 species
UACGUAGGGGGCAAGCGUUGUCCGGAAUCAUUGGGCGUAAAGAGCGUGUAGGCGGCCAGAUAAGUCCGCUGUGAAAUCUCGAGGCUCAACUUCGAGCUGUCGGUGGAAACUGUCUGGCUAGAGUCCGGAAGAGGCGAGUGGAAUUCCUGGUGUAGCGGUGAAAUGCGCAGAUAUCAGGAGGAACACCAAUGGCGAAGGCAGCUCGCUGGGACGGUACUGACGCUGAGGCGCGAAAGCGUGGGAGCAAACAGG